rnacentral:rRNA from 1 species
AUGAACGCUGGCGGCGUGCUUAACACAUGCAAGUCGAACGGGAUCCAAGGGGUGCUUGCACUUUUUGGUGCGAGUGGCGAACGGGUGAGUAACACGUGAGUAACCUGUCCUUUUCUUUGGGAUAAGCAUUCGAAAGGGUGUUUAAUACCUUAUGUUCUGUCUGCCUCGCAUGGGGUGGGUGGGAAAGGCUUUGGCCGGAUUUGGGUGGGCUCGCGGUCUAUCAGCUUGUUGGUGGGGUGAUGGCUUACCAAGGCUUUGACGGGUAGCCGGCCUGAGAGGGUGGUCGGUCACAUUGGGACUGAGAUACGGCCCAGACUCCUGCGGGAGGCAGCAGUGGGGGAUAUUGCACAAUGGGCGAAAGCCUGAUGCAGCGACGCCGCGUGGGGGAUGAAGGCCUUCGGGUUGUAAACUUCUUUUGCUCUGAACAAGGCAUGCCAGUGGGUGUGUUGAGUGUAGGGGUUGAUUAGCGCCGGCUAACUACGUG